CCUACGGGUGGCAGCAGUGGGGAAUAUUGGGCAAUGGGCGAAAGCCUGACCCAGCAACGCCGCGUGAAGGAAGAAGGCUUUCGGGUUGUAAACUUCUUUUGACAGGGAAGAGCAGAAGACGGUACCUGUCGAAUAAGCCACGGCUAACUAAGUGCCAGCAGCCGCGGUAAAAGGUAGGUGGCAAGCGGUGUUCGGAUUUAAUGGGUGGAAAGGGCGGGUAGCCGGGCUGACAAGUCAGAUGUGAAAUCCGGGGGCUCAACCCCCGAACUGCAUUUGAAACUGUUGGUCUUGAGUUUCGGAGGGGCAGGCGGAAUUCCUAGUGUAGCGGUGAAAUGCGUAGAUAUUAGGAGGAACACCAGUGGCGAAGGCGGCCUGCUGGACGACAACUGACGGUGAGGCGCGAAAGCGUGGGGAGCAAACAGGAUUAGAUACCCGGGUAGUC
rnacentral:rRNA from 1 species